CACUUGAGGCAGACCGAGGGUUUCUUGAACGCACAAUUAACUCACUUAGAUAUGGAGAGGAGGGACUGAAGUUCAUUGAACAGAUAGCUUCCCACCUGGGGGAAUUACGGAAGGUCAGGAUAAGAAGAGAUCAAACUUCAGCUUGAGCAUGUAUAAUCCCUUCACAAAUGUGGCAUGCGAAAUGGAGAUGAUGUUCCAGAAGGCAGAAGCUGGACUGUACGAUAGCCAGUAUAUGUAUUGUAUUGAAGAUUGUGUAUGAAGUGUACAGAAAUACUAGCUCGUUUCCUCUCAACACAAAGAAAAUGAUAGGAUUUGACCACAUACCCCAUAUACAGUUGGUCGUUUUUCUCCCUUCCCCGUCUUUUUUGGGGUCUGACAUAUUUCACUUUUUACCUUGGAAGAAGUAUGUAGAGUUGGUGAGCCUUUUCUUGUUUUCCUCAUUAAAUUUGAGUGGGUGUUUAUUCAUUUGGUUUUUUUUUCUUCAACUUCUUUUCUUUUCCAUUUUUGGUUUCUGGAGUGGAUGAGUGAUUGCACUGUAAAACGGGUGAUUAUUGUGUGUAAACUGUAAAUUAUACUGUUGUGACCAAUAAGAAGGUUGAUGCCAUUUU